rnacentral:rRNA from 1 species
AUACGGAGGAUCCGAGCGUUAUCCGGAUUUAUUGGGUUUAAAGGGAGCGUAGGCGGACGCUUAAGUCAGUUGUGAAAGUUUGCGGCUCAACCGUAAAAUUGCAGUUGAUACUGGGUGUCUUGAGUACAGUAGAGGCAGGCGGAAUUCGUGGUGUAGCGGUGAAAUGCUUAGAUAUCACGAAGAACUCCGAUUGCGAAGUCAUCCUGCUGGACUGUAACUGACGCUGAUACUCGAAAGUGUGGGUAUCAAACAGGAUUAGGUACCCUGGUAGUCCACACAGUAAACGAUGAAUACUCGCUGUUUGCGAUAUACGGUAAGCGGCCAAGCGAAAGCGUUAAGUAUUCCGCCUGGGGAGUACGCCGGCAACGGCGAAACUCAAAGUAAUUGACGUGG